UAGGGAAUCUUCCACAAUGGGCGAGAGCCUGAUGGAGCAACGCCGCGUGUGUGAUGAAGGGUUUCGGCUCGUAAAACACUGUUGUAAGAGAAGAAUGACAUUGAGAGUAACUGUUCAAUGUGUGACGGUAUCUUACCAGAAAGGAACGGCUAAAUACGUACCAG
rnacentral:rRNA from 1 species